UACGGAGGGGGCUAGCGUUGUUCGGAAUUACUGGGCGUAAAGCGCACGUAGGCGGCUUUGUAAGUUAGAGGUGAAAGCCCAGGGCUUAACCCUGGAAUUGCCUUUAAGACUGCAUCGCUAGAAUUGUGGAGAGGUAAGUGGAAUUCCGAGUGUAGAGGUGAAAUUCGUAGAUAUUCGGAAGAACACCAGUGGCGAAGGCGAACUUACUGGGACACAUAUUGACGCUGAGGUGCGAAAGCGUGGGGAGCAAACAGGAUAGAAACCCCU
rnacentral:rRNA from 1 species